UACGAAGGUCCCGAGCGUUGUUCGGAAUCACUGGGCGUAAAGGGAGCGUAGGCGGCGUGGUAAGUCAGGUGUGAAAUCCCGGGGCUCAACCCCGGAACUGCAUCCGAUACUGCCGUGCUUGAGGGUUGGAGAGGUAGCUGGAAUUCUCGGUGUAGCAGUGAAAUGCGUGGAUAUCGAGAGGAACACUCGUGGCGAAGGCGAGCUACUGGACAACAUCUGACGCUGAGGCUCGAAGGCCAGGGGAGCAAAAGGG
rnacentral:rRNA from 1 species